rnacentral:tRNA from 1 species
AGCUCAGUUGGUAGAGCAUCUGACUUUUAAUCAGAGGGUCAGUGGUUCGAGUUCGGCGCUA